GACGAACGCUGGCGGCGUGCCUAAUACGUGCAAGUAGAACGCUGAAGAGAGGAGCUUGCUCUUCUUGGAUGAGUUGCGAACGGGUGAGUAACGCGUAGGUAACCUGCCUUGUAGCGGGGGAUAACUAUUGGAAACGAUAGCUAAUACCGCAUAACAAUGGAUGACACAUGUCAUUUAUUUGAAAGGGGCAAUUGUUCCACUACAAGAUGGACCUGCGUUGUAUUAGCUAGUAGGUGAGGUAAUGGCUCACCUAGGCGACGAUACAUAGCCGACCUGGGAGGGUGAUCGGCCACACUGGGACUGAGACACGGCCCAGACUCCUACGGGAGGCAGCAGUAGGGAAUCUUCGGCAAUGGGGGCAACCCUGACCGAGCAACGCCGCGUGAGUGAAGAAGGUUUUCGGAUCGUAAAGCUCUGUUGUAAGUCAAGAACGGGUGUGAGAGUGGAAAGUUCACACUGUGACGGUAGCUUACCAGAAAGGGACGGCUAACUACGUG
rnacentral:rRNA from 1 species